GGGGGUGUAAAGGCUUCGACGGGUAUAGGUGGCGUACGAUAAGCGAGCCGUGGUUCCAUCAGCACGUUAAACGGUGGACGUUUAAAUUUAAACGCAGAUCACGAAUUAGCACUGGCAGCCUGAUUCAGGCGCCCGUUCUGCCAAUCCGGCUCCCGCAGGAGCGGUAAGAACGUCACUUAGCGGGAUCGUCCGUGAGCAAGGUUCGUAGCUCCGGGUUAAAUCUUACGAACUAGCGAUGGCGCAGCCGGUCGGCAGGCGGUGUCGGAGCGAAACACAGUAUGCUGUCUGCGCUCGGAGAAAGUUGUAUGGCAAUAUGUUCGGACGAGGGUUCGACUCCCUCCACCUCCACCA
rnacentral:tmRNA from 1 species